AGAUCUUACAGUGGUGAAUGUCUUGGCUCGAGUAAUGAUGAAGAACGUAGCGAACUGCGAUAUUCAAUAUGAAGUGCAAAGUUCCGUGAAUCAUUAGCAAUUUGAACGCACGCGGCAUUCUGGUCUAGUCCACCAGUUUGACAAUUGUACCGGUGUUACCA
rnacentral:rRNA from 1 species